rnacentral:tRNA from 1 species
GGGGAUUUAGCUCAGUGUUAGAGCACUUGCCUUGCAAGCACAAGGCCCUGGAUUCAGUCCUCA